UGCUCCAAAAUAUUACAAUACUUUUUUUUAUUUCAUUGCCCAAAACACCUUUACAGCCUGAAUGUUAAUUUUGGGGCAGCGUUUAACGGCAUGGGUGGUAAUUGAAUUUAUUAAAUUGACUAACUUUUGCACAAUAAGUAAAUAUAAAUUAUCAUAAUACCCCAACUCAGACAAGUUAGUGGCCUUUCAAACCAAUUUAAAUUCGGUCAAAAUUUGUAGAAAUUUAGAUAUUAUUUUAUUGCAUGUGUGUACAAUUUGUUAUGUGUCUAAGCUCUGUUACCACAAAAAAUAUAUUUAAUUUAGUCCUUAUAGUAGAUUCUAUCACACGUUUGAAAGUUGUCCAACGGUCGAAUAAAUAUGUUGUAGUUUGACCUAGAUAAAUAUAAGACUGGGAAAAUAAAUAUAAAAAAAAUUCCGACAUCUUAAAAGUAGAUACCUAUAUUCGCAAUGGAAAUAUUAUUUUAAAAAUCGGGAUUAUUUAAUUUGAUACAACUGAAUAAAAUGGCUCUAGUCGAUCUAUUUAAAAAAACAUCAACCAAAUAUACGAGUUUGGCUACUGCCAGUGCAGUACUGCAUCCGUCGUGAUCCGAAUAAAGCUGUACGUAUGUAUAUUAUAUCAUGUGCAUGCUUAAAAAAAGGCCUCUGAAUCAUAUAAUAAUUUCUUCAAUUUUACUAUUCAUAGGCCUAAAAUAUUACGUAGUUAUAGACUAUAUAUAUAAAGUAUUGAAGUGCGUAGGCCUACAGUUGAUAGUCGCAUAGACUCCGUUAUCUACGUAUAUGAUAUAUGCCGCCAUUUUGGGUCAAGGUCAAGAUAAAUUACAGUCAAUACAAAUGAAUAACUACAUCGAUAGAUUAUUAAAUGUAAUUUCUAUUAACUGAUUUCAAUGUUAGGUGGUCUAUGUUUGUUGUCUUUUUCAGUAUAUUGUCCACAUUGAUUAAACUAUCAUUAUUAAAAUCAUUUUGAUUCUUCUAUAUUUGUACGUACUUUUUCACAACUCUGAACCCGGAAGCGAGGUAUUCUGGGAAGGUUAUUUUAAAGAUGGCGGGCGUUUUGGAAUUUAUUCGUGGAGUGCAUGAGAAAUGUUCAAUAUACAGCUACUUGGAUUACACAAACAGAGAAAGAUAGAUUAUACCAGUUAAAUUGAGAGGUUUUAUUUGAAAAUCCUAUAUUUGAGCACCAUUCAUGGCAGUCAUGUCGAGGAAGUUAUAAAAAGGUUGAUAAGGGCUUUGUAUAUGGAAGCUAGAUGACAUUACUACUUAUCAUACACAACUAUUUGUCACAUACCGACUUGGGAUUGAAACCAAGCGACUGAACUCAAUAACACUCCUCAAUAACACUCGUCUAUGAAACCACCCAGAUGGCAAAGAAAUAAAGACUUUUUAAUUAUGUACCGAACUCAUAUAUGUAUCUAUGGUAGCACAAAAUUCACCAGAAUGUAGGCCAAAGCUUUACUUUACAAGCAGUAGGCUUAAAAUAUUUUCCGUCUGAUCUUGUAAGAGUCAAUUGUUUAUGAAUAGUUUGCCUCAAGCAGAUAUCCUGUCACUGUGUCACAGUAUCAUAUAACCGCUUUUUGGCUUGAACUGAGUUGUAUCAGUGAGUUGAAAAUCUACUGCAGCCAGUAUAUUAGAUUCAAAAUUCUAACGAGCUUUCGUCUAAUUGGCUCAACUGUAAAAAAAAAUCAAAUAAAAUUCUCCAAAUCCUGCACUUGUCUUAAAAAAAAUGAACAAAUGCUGUUUAUAUUUGAAAUAGAAAAUGAAAUAUAAUGGGGUUUAACAUCCUACUAUUCUACUCCGAACUUGGCUAAUACGCCAUACAGUGUGCUACGAAGGAAACUUUGCCCGGACAGCGGCACUACGGAACGAUUAGACAGCUGUACUUGUUAGGCCCUCCAUCCUGCAUCACUGACAAGGAGGAACCAUGCCGGAAAAUCUGGAUGAACUUUCUUGACCAAUGCAGGGAUCGAACACCCUACCGCUAGGCUAGUGAGCCAGCGUCUUACCGACCGUAUUUGAAAUCGUAUUUGCAAACCAUACAUAGAUGUCACGUUCAAUGUUGUUUGUGGGGUUGGAUGGCCGAAAGGUUAGCACGUGCGCGCUGUACCAUAAGGUAUGUCAUUGAGUCAACUGGUGUGGUUUCGAUUCCCCGGUUGUACGUGACAAGGAAUAGGGUCGCCUGCCCAACCUAGUGGGUUUUCUCCGGGUCAUCCGGUUUCCUCCCAUUGCUAAACACCCCUACGCGCAAGCGAUUUAUUGAAAUAAAAUUGAACCAUGUUAAUACCAAACCUACAUGUAGUUUGUGUUGAGUGGACGUUUAACCCCAUCAGACUCUCUCUCUCUCGCUCUCGAAGUUGUUUUCAAUUUUAGCACUCCACCAAACCAUUCAACUGGACUAAGAGCGAGUCGUUUGUAUCAACAGAAUGGUCCCGAUCAGGUGCUCAAUCGCCAAAUUGAGCGAACGGUGGCGACACCAAACGACGUCAUAAUGAUGGUUGCUAGGUAGAAAUCAAAAUUCUAAAUUUGUUUACCAUUCAUGCUUAACAUGUAAAGUGACUAGACAUUUUUCGCCUUAAUAAUAGAAAUAAGAUGAAACAAUUAAAAUUUACACUGAACAAAAAAAGAAGUUGAAUUAUACAUUGUCUUAAUUUAGAAAUUACAUGAAUGGAAGUUAGAAAUUACAAGAGUAGAAGUAAGAAAUUAGACGAUAGCAUGUUAGAAUUUUGAAUCUAAUAUACCGCCAUAGUAUACGGGGAAACUUUUUAAACCCUUACAAAUUCUUCAAAUUUUUGUGAUAGAUCAAUAAUAGCAAAAAUCUGUGUUAAAAUUAUA